rnacentral:lncRNA from 1 species
GGAAAAAAGGUCAAUCAAAGCACUGGAAAAAUAUUUUCAAGGAGGUAUCCAAAGAAAUCUCGGUUCCAAGAAAGCUCUUGACAAACGUCACUCAUCAGCUCAGUAAUUAGAGAUGAAAAUUGCACUUUGGGGAGGUGGGGACAGGCUGGAAUUGGUGUCAGGGCUCCCUGCCAGCCCCAGCCCCACGGGUGGACAGCCUGGGCAGCCAAACCCUGCUCUGGCCCCAGCCUGGGGAUCCACGGGGGCCAGGGAGGGCCAGUGAUGGCCAAAGGCACGGGACAUCCUGCCACCCCUGCCCACACCUCUGCCAGGCCAGUGGGGAGUUCUUAUCCCACGGGAUGUUCCCCCAAAUCAACAGCUGGGAUGGACCCGCAGGGACUGUCCCAUCCUGGAGAGACUGUCCCAUCCUGGAGGGACUGUCACAUCCUGGAGGGACUGUCACAUCCCACAGGUCCCAUCCUGGAGGGACUGUCCCAUCCUGGAGGGACUGUCACAUCCCACAGGACUGUCCCAUCCCGCAGGUCCCAUCCUGGAGGGACUGUCCCAUCCCACAGGUCCCAUCCCACAGGACUGUCCCAUCCCACAGGACUGUCCCAUCCCUCAGGACUGUCCCAUCCCACAGGGACUGUCCCAUCCCACAGGGACUGUCCCAUCCCACAGGUCCCAUCCCACAGGACUGUCCCAUCCCACAGGGACUGUCCCAUCACACAGGUCCCAUCCUGGAGGGACUGUCCCAUCCCUCAGGACUGUCCCAUCUUGGAGGGACUGUCCCAUCCUGGAAGGACUGUCACAUCCCACAGGUCCCAUCCCGCAGGACUGUCCCAUCCCUCAGGGACUGUCACAUCCCACAGGGACUGUCCCAUCCUGGAGGGACUGUCACAUCUCAGAGGUCCCAUCCUACAGGGACUGUCCCAUCCCACAGGUCCCAUCCCACAGGGACUGUCCCAUCCUGGAGGGACUGUCACAUCCCACAGAUCCCAUCCCACAGGACUGUCCCAUCCCACAGGUCCCAUCCCAGAGGGACUGUUCCAUCCUGGAGGGACUGUCCCAUCCUGGAGGGACUGUCCCAUCCCACAGGUCCCAUCCCGCAGGGACUGUCACAUCUCAGAGGUCCCAUCCUGGAGGGACUGUCCCAUCCCGCAGGUCCCAUCCCGCAGGGACUGUCACAUCCCACAGGGACUGUCCCAUCCCUCAGGUCCCAUCCCUCAGGCCUGUCCCAUCCCGGAGGGCU